CAUAUGGGUUCGACGGGGCCCGGGGGCCAAGGUCAAGUUGAAAGUUGCAAUCUGGCCAAAUAAG
rnacentral:sRNA from 1 species